UGGGAAAAGUGUGCCCUUUCGGACACAGUGGCUCAGAUUUUCCCACAACAGCAACACACUCCGGCAGCUCAAGGACCAAGGCUCAAAGGUGGAAUCUGAUGGACAGGACUCCGGCGACACAGGGAACUCAGCAAUAUCACCAAACAGGAGACCUUCUCAGGAAUCCGAUGAUAAUGCUCUCAAUAGCAGGAAGCCCGCUCAUCACAGCCACAACACCGGAGAUCAGACCGGGAAACACAGAAGGAAUAACAGAGCCUUCAAAGUUGUGAACCUCUUUAGCGGAACUUCCCACAAUCGAGUGCUUUAUAACCAAGAUGGGGACAGAUCAGGGAGGUAAAGGGAGGCAUCGGGAAGGAGGGGUAAGCCAUUAAUGAUGGUGGAACUCAAGGAGAGAGGAAGGCCAGAGGUCGGGAGAUCAAAGCUGGAGCGGCGGAAGGGAAGAGAGGGAUUUAGGGUUUGGCUGAAAGGGGGUUGGAGGCCAGGGCUAACCUCCAGGGCAGAGAGCGAAGAAGCAGAGCGGACCGCGAGAGAGAGAAGAGAACCUAGGGUGUUUCAAAUCUUUGUUAUUUUCUUCCCUUGCUUACACGAAGAGGGAUUAUUAUGCUUCACUGACAGUAGAACGCCCUAAUGAGUACGAAUCAAUGUAGUUAAUCACUUGACUUCAUGGGACGGGACCUAGUUGGGUUAAAUGGUUAAUAAAAUGGGAUAUGAGCCAUGCAUAAAUGCAUUACGCAUCCUCUUUUAUUUUAGAAUUUCCGCGGACUAAGACCUACGUUAUUUUUCCCGAAUCAAGGUUGAACGCAAGAGUUAAGGCUAGUCGUGAGUCACCCAACCAGGUGGGCUUUCUACGUAUAAACUAAAACCAUAUUAUAGAAUUGUUAUGACUUUAUGCUUAUGAUUUUGAAUGAUAUUGUCAAUGCCUAAAUGCUUUAUGUUUUGUUAUUAAUUACCUAUCUGAUGCUAAUCGAAUUCGGAUUCUGGAUGGGACCUCAAAUCCCUUCAGAAUUAGUGUACACCCUUGUGAUCGUGAGUCAUCUAGCUGGUUGGCCGAUCAUAGUGUCCGUAGAGGGAGGCCUACCUCUCGGCACGAGUUACUGAUAUGGUGAUUAAUGAUAUUAAAAUGCCGGCUCGAGAUAUUUAUGAAAGAAAUGAUAUUAUUUUUGUAGUAAAUACGAGUCUUUAAAGGAAAACCCUCGUAUCUUACUACCUAUGAAAGGCUUGACAAUAAAAUGUUAUGUAUGUAUGUAUAUUUCGACAAGUGUCCACUAAGUACUCCCGUACUUAGCCCUGCAUGUAUUUCUAAAUGUGCAGGUUGAGCUGUGAUCGGGGAUGUGGUGUGCAAGCGGAGCUUUGUCAAUCUAGGACGAGAACUUCAGAGCAAAGUAUAUGUCUUCAUACAUAUACUCGAGUUGAUGUUUUUCCGCUGCGUACAUUGAUUUUGCUAAGUUAUCAUGUCAUUUUUCAAACAAUAUGUACUAUUCAACAAUGUUUUCAAACUCUUCGAGUACCCUCUCGAAUAAUUAUGUACGGCCCCUUUCGGCCCUUGAUUAAUAUCUAGUCAUUCCGUUUGUUUCCUUUAUAUAUAGUCGAGUCAUCAAGAAGCUUAAUACGCCCCCCUUUUCUAAUCCCACUCCUAAAUCCCCUCCCCUCGUCGCGGGUUCCCCGAGUUUGCUAUCCUUAGCGGGCGCGGCCGCGACAUCAUUGAAGUCACAACAGAACACACACACAUGCAGGGGAGAGAGACAGACACAGAGUAGAGCACACAACACAACCGAGGCAGAAAAACGACCAGAACAAGAAAGAACAGGGCAGACACACAGAACAAGACAAAGCUCAACAACAUAAACAAAGACAACACAAGAAAAGGAAAGAAAAGAGACAAGCAGCCACAGAGGCUGAACUUGCCAUACACACAAGCACAGAGACUAAACUUUAACCACAAUCAAAGUUCACAACAGGAGCAAAAACCACAUUGUAAUCAAGGCCUACCUUUUGUGUAAAGUCCUUAGCAACAAAUCUAGUUUUGUAUCUCACUUUCUCAGUUUCAUGCUUGACUUUAAACAGCAAUUUGGACUCAAUAACAGAACAUUUAGUGGGCUUUACCACUAGUGUCCAAGUUUCAUUAGGUUCAUUCAUAAUAGGCUCAAGCAAGUUUUCUGGUUCAGCAUGCAAGUUGGGUUGAGGAUCCACCUCAAAAGGAACAGUGGGGGGAGGAAACAUAAACUUAUUCUUGUUUUGAUUAACAACAUUCACAUUCUCCACCUCACUUGGAGCAUCAGAUUGUGAGGAUUCAAGCAGGUCACGCAUGUGUUCAGUCUCAGUGUUUGGUUCUGGGUCCACCUCAGAAGGAAUGGGGGGAGUGAUCAUAAACUCAUACCUUUCUAGGUCACAAGGCCUAGUUGUCUCCACCUCACUUGGAGUGUCAGAAUGUGAGGAUUCAAGUAUGCACGGAAAACUUUGUUCAUUGAAGACAACAUUCCUACUGAUGCAAGUUUUAAAUCCAGGGAUAGACCUAUCCCACAACCUAUAGCAGUUGUUCAUGAUGACAAAAAAACUCAAACAGCUGCAAGCAGCAACACUCAAGACAGCAACCACACAGAUACCAACAAAGCAGGCAAAACAAAAGUCACACACAGCCACACAGGAUAAACCCCUCUCUCUCUUGCUUUCCAGGAUACUCGCAUGAGGAGACUCCUUUAAAGGAGAAUCCAGACGAACUGGACCAAGGCAAGAGAGAUCUCACUUGGCUUGGAAUACCAAUAGUUUAUCGAGAUGUAGAACAACAAGCGGAAGCACAAAAGCAAGUCAGGAUCGCAAGAUACCAAGAUCUCAGCAAGUAAAACAUGCAAAACACAAACAACAGCAGCAACACCAACCCUAGAAUCUAGAAGUUUCAAGUGUUUAAGCCAAUUUACCAGAGCCGCCUUCCCAGGAAGGGGAGAGGCCGGCCCUACCUUGUUCCUUGCUCGUCGGGAGCGAGAAUGGCGCAGCCAAGGGGCGGCAGGGUGGGUAAGAUGUGUUCAGAGGGUGCCCUGGCUAGGUCACCGUGGCUCUGAUACCACUGUUGGGUAUCUUCGCCUAGCCGGAGGUUCACCGCUUGGUUUCCGUCCGUCCUGCCGCCUUCACUCGACACUCUAGUGUCAAAGUUCCUCGUCACAACUCUUCCUCUUCGUCUUCUUCUUCUGCUCCUGCGUGUACCUGCAAAUCACCAGAAACACAGCAAGUCAACAGUUUAAAGAAAGAAACGAAGGAAGACAGAAAAGUAAGAAAGUCCAGAGGAGAUUCGAGGUGGGAAAAGUGUGCCCUUUCGGACACAGUGGCUCAGAUUUUCCCACAACAGCAACACACUCCGGCAGCUCAAGGACCAAGGCUCAAAGGUGGAAGAGGAACUCAGAUCGGAGCCCAACUCAGUCAAGCCCAGCCGCCUAAACUCAGGAAUCCGAUGGACAGGACUCCGGCGACACAGGGAACUCAGCAAUAUCACCAAACAGGAGACCUUCUCAGGAAUCCGAUGAUAAUGCUCUC
rnacentral:lncRNA from 1 species